rnacentral:lncRNA from 1 species
UCUGGGAAACAGGGACUAUUAGCAUGGGAUGGAUGGAGUCAGGGAGUCUAGCACACCUUUACCACUAUGUGAGUGGUAACUCACAACAUUUUUGCCUUUUUCUUUCUUCUUGAUGCUCACCACAGCAGGGAAAUGUGACUAGAAAAGAAAGGAGAGGUGGCUGAGCCAAUCAUGCUCCUUGGCAUUUUUUAGGACUUGGGACUCAGUUCCUUCCAAAAUGGAAGCCACAGGAUGGGAGCGCACAGCACACAAGGAAAGAAGCAAAUCGGGAUGAAUUGUGGAAAAUCAGUAUUGAAUCCCUUCCCAAAAGAUAGGAAAGAUUGUGAAACUGCCCAAGAGAAAAGUAAUACAAUCAGUCCUCCUUGGUUUCUGAAAUGA